rnacentral:rRNA from 1 species
CAGUCGCCACGGUAAUACAGAGGGGGCUAGCGUUGUUCGGAAUUACUGGGCGUAAAGCGCACGUAGGCGGCGAUUUAAGUCAGAGGUGAAAGCCCGGGGCUCAACCCCGGAACUGCCUUUGAGACUGGAUUGCUAGAAUCUUGGAGAGGCGGGUGGAAUUCCGAGUGUAGAGGUGAAAUUCGUAGAUAUUCGGAAGAACACCAGUGGCGAAGGCGGCCCGCUGGACAAGUAUUGACGCUGAGGUGCGAAAGCGUGGGGAGCAAACAGGAUUAGAUACCCGCGUAGUCCCUGUCUCUUAUAC